UACGGGGGGAGCAAGCGUUGUUCGGAUUUACUGGGCGUAAAGGGCGCGUAGGCGGUCAGCACAAGUCAAUUGUGAAAUCUCCGAGCUUAACUCGGAAAGGUCAACUGAAACUGUGCGACUAGAGUGCGGAAGGGGCAACUGGAAUUCUUGGUGUAGCGGUGAAAUGCGUAGAUAUCAAGAGGAACACCUGCGGCGAAGGCGGGUUGCUGGGCCGACACUGACGCUGAAGCGCGAAAGCCAGGGGAGCGAGCGGG
rnacentral:rRNA from 1 species